rnacentral:rRNA from 1 species
AACACAUGCAAGUCGAGCGGUAGCACAGGGGAGCUUGCUCCCUGGGGUGACGAGCGGCGGACGGGUGAGUAAUGUCUGGGAAACUGCCUGAUGGAGGGGGAUAACUACUGGAAACGGUAGCUAAUACCGCAUAACGUCGCAAGACCAAAGAGGGGGACCUUCGGGCCUCUUGCCAUCAGAUGUGCCCAGAUGGGAUUAGCUAGUAGGUGGGGUAAUGGCUCACCUAGGCGACGAUCCCUAGCUGGUCUGAGAGGAUGACCAGCCACACUGGAACUGAGACACGGUCCAGACUCCUACGGGAGGCAGCAGUGGGGAAUAUUGCACAAUGGGCGCAAGCCUGAUGCAGCCAUGCCGCGUGUGUGAAGAAGGCCUUCGGGUUGUAAAGCACUUUCAGCGAUGAGGAAGGUGGUGAGCUUAAUACGCUCAUCAAUUGACGUUACUCGCAGAAGAAGCACCGGCUAACUCCGUGCCAGCAGCCGCGGUAAUACGGAGGGUGCAAGCGUUAAUCGGAAUUACUGGGCGUAAAGCGCACGCAGGCGGUUUGUUAAGUCAGAUGUGAAAUCCCCGGGCUCAACCUGGGAACUGCAUUUGAAACUGGCAAGCUAGAGUCUCGUAGAGGGGGGUAGAAUUCCAGGUGUAGCGGUGAAAUGCGUAGA